CGUCGAUCUCGUGAAUCAUCGAAUCUUUGAACGCAAUUUGCACCUGGUGGCUUUUGUCACUAGGUAUACUUGUUUGAGUAUCCAUAACCAUCUCACCUCCCUUUCGGGGCGAUGUGGACUUUGAGAUUCGAUGGGCAUCUUUCAAUAGACUGCCGAAAGUCGUCUCUUUAAAUUUAUGACCACACUGGAAAGUCUCCACUGGAGAGUCUCCUGACGCUUGUGUCUGGACCAUUGGGAUAAUAUCCUACAAUUGUCCAACCUUCGUUUGACUCCUCAUAAGCGUUGACAGCCCAAGGUCAAUCUUGGUCUCAGAUAUCAUCAUUCAAUGAUAUCCUGGGAUCAUCUCUCAUUCCGCUUUAUUUAAGUGGACUGAUUGUGUAACGGAUCUCAAAUCAAGUAAGGACACCCGCUGAACUUAAGCAUAUCAAUAAGCGGAGG
rnacentral:rRNA from 1 species